AAGUUGCUCCUGACACGGAAAAAAAAAAAACCCUGCUAAACCCUGUGAAAAUUAAGGGUAUCCUACGCAUGAGCCACUGGACAAGAGCAACUCACUAAGCUUCAAUAUUUUUAACUAUUACAUUUUAUAAACUCUUUAUUUACAGUUGAGUAAUUACUUGUAGUCUGUAAUUAUAAUACAACACAGCACUUUUAUCCCAUUCUCUUGUUCCUUAGGUAAACUUGCUCUAUCCCUUUCCUUUCUUCUUGUUCAAGUUGGCCAUGUUUUUACAACAGAUGACAUUUUAGGUUAUUGGCACUGUUCUGAGUUCAAAUUGUUGUUUUAUAUACUAGUGGAUUUAUUUUGUAUUGUACUGUGUGUUUAUUUUAUGAGUUGUUUUAGGCACUUUGUGCCAUAUGUAAGUUGGUCCGAGUCCUUUUGGGGAGAUGGAGGCGGGGUACAAAAAUAAAGUUAUUACAUUAUUAUUAUUAUUAUUAUUAUUAUUAUUAUUAUUAUUAUUAUUAUUGACACAACAACAUAGUAUGACACAGCAAACAAGAAAGAUAUGCUGGAUUUUGUAUCACAAAAUCACAAGUCGAACACUUUCCAAGAGUUUAGGACUGUGUGAUGUAUUUUUGGAUGAUGCGCGCAGAUCCCAGUAGGGUGGCCUUUUGCAGUUGGCAGAUCGUAAUUUUGUCAAUGUCUGUUGUUUCCAAAUGCCAGCUGAGAUCUUUUGGCACGGCACCCAGUGUGACCAUCACCACCGGGACCACCUGUACUGGUUUCUGCCAGAGUCUUUGAAGUUCGAUCUUGACGUCCUGAUAGUGGCUGAGUUUUUCCUGUUGUUUUUCAUCAAUUCAACUGUCACCUGGAUUUUUUUGAGACCAGCAAACAUGUCCCAGUCUCAGUUCUUGUACUGUCCGUGUUGGGAUCCUUGGAAGACGGGAUGUAAAAGGCUGGUAAAAGCCAAAGCUGGUCAGCUGGGUCAGAGGCCCAAAUCAAUGCCUUUAGGUAUGAUCCCCAGAAAGCUACCUAAGACCCAGUUCCCUGCAGGUUUUGAUAGAGUAAAAUUUACCUCCAGGACUUGUAUACAACCUUUAAGAAGCAGGGAGCCUCGGGAUAUAUCCAAAGAGUUUGAAGAAGAAGAAGUCAUUCCUGGUUUUACAUUGUCUCAGAGUAAAGACCAUAUUGACGUUAUCCUGGGAGAGGACUUUUUUGAGAAGAAAAAAUCGACUGAGCAACCUGCCAAAGUGGUUGUUCCCAGCACUCCACCAAAGCUUGAAACGGAGGAUGUCGUUGCUGACUUAGUGGAACAGAUUUCUGAGCUCACUGCAAUCAUGGAACAAUUACGCCGAGAUCACCAGGUGACCCACAAACAGAUGGAGAAAGAUAUGGAAGAAAAAUGCAGUGAGUUGCAAGAGGAGCAUGAGAACAAAAUAAAGGAAAUUCAGGUUUUUCAUGAAUCAGAAUUGGCUGCCCUGGAAGAGCAAUACAAGAAGGAGUUGCGGAACGAGAGAGCAACGGCUCAAGAGAAGCUGACUACGAUGCAGAAGGAGUACAAAUAUCUGAAGAACGCGUUCCGUGUGUAUCAGGAUAGCAUUUCAGAUGAAAUGGAAGAAAAGUGGCUGAGAAGGCAAGCAGAAUGGAAAAAGAGUGAAAGAACUGAACGGGAGAAAGCAUUAAUACAGCAAAAACAGUUAUUGACCAAAAAAUUUGAGAUGGAGUUAGAAGAACAGAAGAAGCUCAUUCAGAGAAACAGUUUCGUCUUAGGCAAAGCCUAUGAGCAAGAAAGAGAGGAAUUUCAAAAGCAGCAGCAAGCCAAUAAGGAAAUUAUAGACGAGCUGAACAAGAAGAUCACGAUUGUGGAGACAGAAUUGAAAGAGAAGAAUGAAACUUUGAAUGCAAUUGCUUCGACUCUUCACAGGACAGAGCUGGAACUCCGGAAUGAGAAAGCCAACUUGGCUGAGAUGGAAAAAAACAUUCAACAACGAAUUGCAGCGGUUGAAGAAAAGCAUCGAAUUAAUAUGGCUACUUUGGUAGAAGAAAACGUUCUAUUAAGGCGCAAACUAAUUGAGAAGAAUGAAGAGCUGUACAAUGAAAGAAAUGGCCUGUUUGAGCCAUUCAUUUAAGACUACAAAAGGAAAAAAACCAGCAGUUGUUCAAAGACCUUCUGAGGUUUCCAAAUCUGCAAUAUGAGGACCAUCACAUAUGAAAAAAUGAUCCCAUUGCUAAUUUACGUUUCCAGCAGGUAUUUUCAACUGUGGCUGCAUUUUGGCGAUUUUUACAUUGAUAAAACAUUUUGUAAAAGUUUUCCAACAGUGAAUGAUUUCUGAUUUUUUAAAAAUUUACUGUGACUUUCAUAGCUCAUCUUAAGGAAUACUCCUCAGUUUGUUCAAGAAACUCCCCUUACUGCCAAUCCCAGAAUUCCACAGCUGCCACAGAUGCUGUGGCAGCUAAACUGGAAUCAUGGUGCUAUCAAAGGUUAAACCCUUGUGCCGGCUGAACUGCUGACCUGAAGGCUGACGUUAGAAGGAAUGAGCUCCCGUCUGUAAGCCCUAGCUUCCCAAGAGGGGACAUGAGAGAAGCCUCUCAGCAGGAUGGUAACACAUCCGGGUGUCCCUUGGGCAAGACUUUGUAGAUGGCCGAUUCUCUCACACCAGAAGCAACUUGCAAUAUGUUCUCAAUUUGCUUCUGACAUGAUUAUUUUAAAAGUAUGAAAAGGCCCCAGAAAUGACACAACUUGUCAACCCCCAGUAUCUGAUAUGCCCAAUAUUAAUGUGAGCAGCCCAAAGGUCCACAAGGAAUUACGCUGACUCCCUGGACUAAGGUACGCAAAGGUCUGAGGUUUAGUUAUUAGAUAAGAGGUAGCACUGUACCUGAGAGAAAACAACGAACAAACUGUAAAAUACAGUGAUUCUAUUAUAUUGUUUUCCAAAAGUAAAACACACGUCUGUUACAUCUUAAAUAUUCCUAUUGCUUUUUCCUUUGAAACAAAGUAUUUAUUGUGCCUCAAGGUAAUCUUGACACCAAUUGAUAUCUCUGUUACAGCAGUGACAAACGCAUAUCCAUUUUCAGGUCUUUCUGGAAGCUCACAGGCAAGAUGGGGAAAGCAAUGCUCUUCGUCUGCUCAAAAGAGGUUAAAAGGCCCUAAGCCAGGCAUCCUCAAACUCCGAUCCUCCAACUGUUUGGGCCUCCAACUCCCAGAAUCCCUGACCAUUGAACAGCUGGCUUUGGCUUCUAGUAGUUGGAGACCUAAACAGCUAGAAAACUGGAGUUUGAGGAUGCCUGCCCUAACCAGUAUGAGAGAGGAUGAGAAAAAUUCAAAAUAGUGGAAUCUUCAAGCAAAGAGCGGUAAAACAAACAAACACAAUUCAUGGCUGCUAUAGUCGGUGACAACCAAGAUUUUUAAAAAAUGGCUAAAACCUGAGUAGUUCCACUCUGGAUAGUGGCUUGUCAUCUUUUCUGUUGAAUAGCGUUUUCCAAAUGAUCUGCUAGAGUCCUAAGUGAAUGCAUAAGGCCAGUCUUUCCCCCCAACAAAAAUCAAACAUCAUGAUCUCUCGAAAGCAUUGUAAUUCCAAAUGCUCAUUCUGUGACAAAAACUCUAGCAUUUUUUAAGGGAUGGGGAAUAUCAGUUUUUUCCUGAGGGUGUAAGCUGGUUGCGGCAUCUGUUUCUUUUGCCCUUGAGCGUCUGCACGUCUGCUCACGUCAGCAUUGACUUCUGUAAGGAUGGACAAUAUGUCUUCGCCUCUGAAAGGAAACAACCGAAAGACAAACAUGACUUCUAGCAUAACUGCUAUUCACUUACAUUGGUAUAAUUUUGAGUUCAUAGUAGCAUUAAAUGACAAACGAGCAAAAUGUAUUAAAGAGAUAUUGUGCUUGGA